rnacentral:rRNA from 1 species
UACGGAGGGAGCUAGCGUUGCUCGGAAUCACUGGGCGUAAAGCGCACGUAGGCGGAUUGCUAAGUCAGGGGUGAAAUCCUGGAGCUCAACUCCAGAACUGCCUUUGAUACUGGCGAUCUUGAGUCCGGGAGAGGUGAGUGGAACUGCGAGUGUAGAGGUGAAAUUCGUAGAUAUUCGCAAGAACACCAGUGGCGAAGGCGGCUCACUGGCCCGGUACUGACGCUGAGGUGCGAAAGCGUGGGGAGCAAACAGG